rnacentral:tRNA from 1 species
GCCAGCGUAGCUCAGAGGUUAGAGCGGGGCUCUCAUAAGGCCUAGGUCGGAGGUUCGAGUCCUCCCGCUGGCA